rnacentral:rRNA from 1 species
AUACGGAGGAUCCGAGCGUUAUCCGGAUUUAUUGGGUUUAAAGGGAGCGUAGGUGGAUUGUUAAGUCAGUUGUGAAAGUUUGCGGCUCAACCGUAAAAUUGCAGUUGAAACUGGCAGUCUUGAGUACAGUAGAGGUGGGCGGAAUUCGUGGUGUAGCGGUGUAAUGCUUAGAUAUCACGAAGAACUCCGAUUGCGAAGGCAGCUCACUAGACUGUUACUGACACUGAUGCUCGAAAGUGUGGGUAUCAAACAGGAUUAGAUACCCUGGUAGUCCACACAGUAAACGAUGAAUACUCGCUGUUUGCGAUAUACAGUAAGCGGUCAAGCGAAAGCAUUAAGUAUUCCACCUGGGGAGUACGCCGGCAACGGUGAAACUCAAAGGAAUUGGCGGGG